rnacentral:rRNA from 1 species
GGGCGGUAUACGUAUAGAGUGUACGGGGACCGAUAGACUGAGAGCUGGCUCUCGGGUGACGAGCGGCGGACGGGUGAGUAAUGUCUGGGAAACUGCCUGAUGGAGGGGGAUAACUACUGGAAACGGUAGCUAAUACCGCAUAACGUCGCAAGACCAAAGUGGGGGACCUUCGGGCCUCAUGCCAUCAGAUGUGCCCAGAUGGGAUUAGCUAGUAGGUGGGGUAACGGCUCACCUAGGCGACGAUCCCUAGCUGGUCUGAGAGGAUGACCAGCCACACUGGAACUGAGACACGGUCCAGACUCCUACGGGAGGCAGCAGUGGGGAAUAUUGCACAAUGGGCGCAAGCCUGAUGCAGCCAUGCCGCGUGUGUGAAGAAGGCCUUCGGGUUGUAAAGCACUUUCAGCGGGGAGGAAGGCGUUGAGGUUAAUAACCUUGUCGAUUGACGUUACCCGCAGAAGAAGCACCGGCUAACUCCGUGCCAGCAGCCGCGGUAAUACGGAGGGUGCAAGCGUUAAUCGGAAUUACUGGGCGUAAAGCGCACGCAGGCGGUCUGUCAAGUCGGAUGUGAAAUCCCCGGGCUCAACCUGGGAACUGCAUUCGAAACUGGCAGGCUAGAGUCUUGUAGAGGGGGGUAGAAUUCCAGGUGUAGCGGUGAAAUGCGUAGAGAUCUGGAGGAAUACCGGUGGCGAAGGCGGCCCCCUGGACAAAGACUGACGCUCAGGUGCGAAAGCGUGGGGAGCAAACAGGAUUAGAUACCCUGGUAGUCCACGCCGUAAACGAUGUCGAUUUGGAGGUUGUGCCCUUGAGGCGUGGCUUCCGGAGCUAACGCGUUAAAUCGACCGCCUGGGGAGUACGGCCGCAAGGUUAAAACUCAAAUGAAUUGACGGGCCCGCACAAGCGGUGGAGCAUGUGGUUUAAUUCGAUGCAACGCGAAGAACCUUACCUGGUCUUGACAUCCACAGACUUUCAGAGAUGAUGUGCUUCGGGACUGUGAGACAGUGCUGCAUGCUUGUCGUCAGCUCGUGUUGUGAAUGUUGUUGGGUUAAGUCCCGCAACGAGCGCAACCCUUAUCCUUUGUUGCCAGCGGUUCGGCCGGGAACUCAAAGGAGACUGCCAGUGAUAAACUGGAGGAAGGUGGGGAUGACGUCAAGUCAUCAUGGCCCUUACGACCAGGGCUACACACGUGCUACAAUGGCAUAUACAAAGAGAAGCGACCUCGCGAGAGCAAGCGGACCUCAUAAAGUAUGUCGUAGUCCGGAUUGGAGUCUGCAACUCGACUCCAUGAAGUCGGAAUCGCUAGUAAUCGUAGAUCAGAAUGCUACUGUGCCUACGUUCCCGGACCUUGUACACACCGCCCGUAAAGGCCCCCAGGGCUGCAAAAGAUCACGUAGCCCCUAAAUCGUGACACGGGUCCUAUAGCUAUGCCCUUG